rnacentral:rRNA from 1 species
UACGUAGGUGGCAAGCGUUGUCCGGAUUUACUGGGUGUAAAGGGCGUGUAGGCGGGUUAGUAAGUCAGAUGUGAAAUUCCAUGGCUCAACUGUGGCGCUGCAUCUGAAACUAUUAAUCUUGAGUGAUGGAGAGGAAAGCGGAAUUCCUAGUGUAGCGGUGAAAUGCGUAGAUAUUAGGAGGAACACCAGUGGCGAAGGCGGGUCUCUGGGCCAUAACUGACGCUGAGGAGCGAAAGCGUGGGGAGCGAACAGG